GACGAACGCUGGCGGCGCGCCUAACACAUGCAAGUCGAACGAGCGAGAGAGAGCUUGCUUUCUUGAGCGAGUGGCGAACGGGUGAGUAACGCGUGAGGAACCUGCCUCAAAGAGGGGGACAACAGUUGGAAACGACUGCUAAUACCGCAUAAGCCCACGGUGCCGCAUGGCACAGAGGGAAAAGGAGCAAUCCGCUUUGAGAUGGCCUCGCGUCCGAUUAGCUAGUUGGUGAGGUAACGGCCCACCAAGGCGACGAUCGGUAGCCGGACUGAGAGGUUGAACGGCCACAUUGGGACUGAGACACGGCCCAGACUCCUACGGGAGGCAGCAGCGGGGAAUAUUGCACAAUGGGGGAAACCCUGAUGCAGCGACGCCGCGUGGAGGAAGAAGGUCUUCGGAUUGUAAACUCCUGUUGUUGGGGAAGAUAAUGACGGUACCCAACAAGGAAGUGACGGCUAACUACGUG
rnacentral:rRNA from 1 species